GACGAACGCUGGCGGCGUGCUUAACACAUGCAAGUCGAACGGAAAGGCCCUGCUUUUGUGGGGUGCUCGAGUGGCGAACGGGUGAGUAACACGUGAGUAACCUGCCCUUGACUUUGGGAUAACUUCAGGAAACUGGGGCUAAUCCCGGAUCGGAGCUCCUGCUGCAUGGUGGGGGUUGGAAAGUUUCGGCGGUUGGGGAUGGACUCGCGGCUUAUCAGCUUGUUGGUGGGGUAGUGGCUUACCAAGGCUUUGACGGGUAGCCGGCCUGAGAGGGUGACCGGCCACAUUGGGACUGAGGUACGGCCCAGACUCCUACGGGAGGCAGCAGUGGGGAAUAUUGCACAAUGGGCGGAAGCCUGAUGCAGCAACGCCGCGUGCGGGAUGACGGCCUUCGGGUUGUAAACCGCUUUCGCCUGUGACGAAGCGUGAGUGACGGUAAUGGGUAAAGAAGCACCGGCUAACUACGUG
rnacentral:rRNA from 1 species